UGGUGGAGUGAUUUGUCUGCUUAAUUGCGAUAACGAACGAGACCUUAACCUGCUAAAUAGCCAGGUCCGCGUUUGCGGAUCGCCGGCUUCUUAGAGGGACUAUCGGAUUUCAAGACGAUGGAAGUUUGAGGCAAUAACA
rnacentral:rRNA from 1 species